rnacentral:rRNA from 1 species
AGGCCUAAUACAUGCAAGUCGAACGGUAACAGGGCAGAACUUCGGUUCAGCCGCUGACGAGUGGCGCACGGGUGAGUAACGCGUACAUAACCUGCCUUCAAGAGAGGGAUAGCCCUGGGAAACCGGGAUUAAUACCUCAUAGUAUUGCUAAGUCGCAUGGCUGUGCAAUUAAAGUUUCGGCGCUUGAAGAUGGAUGUGCGUGCCAUUAGCUAGUUGGUAAGGUAACGGCUUACCAAGGCAACGAUGGCUAGGGGGCGUGAGAGCGUGACCCCCCACACGGGUACUGAGACACGGACCCGACUCCUACGGGAGGCAGCAGUAAGGAAUAUUGGACAAUGGAGGCAACUCUGAUCCAGCCAUCCCGCGUGCAGGAUGACUGCCCUAUGGGUUGUAAACUGCUUUUAUUUGGGAAGAAACCUGUUCAUUUACUGAACAGUUGACGGUACCUUAUGAAUAAGCACCGGCUAACUCCGUGCCAGCAGCCGCGGUAAUACGGAGGGUGCAAGCGUUAUCCGGAAUCACUGGGUUUAAAGGGAGCGUAGGCGGCAUGAUAAGUCAGAGGUGAAAGGCUGUAGCUUAACUAUGGAAUUGCCUUUGAUACUGUUGUGCUUGAAUCGAGUUGAGGUCAGCAGAAUGUGACAUGUAGCGGUGAAAUGCAUAGAUAUGUCAUAGAAUACCAAUUGUGGAGACAGCUGGCUGGACUUGUAUUGACGCUGAGGCUCGAAAGCGUGGGGAGCAAACCGGAUUAGAUACCCUGGUAGUCCACGCCCUAAACGAUGGUUUACUCGAUGUUGGCUUUUAAAGUCAGCGUCCCAAGGGAAACCAAAUUAAGUAACCACCUGGGG